rnacentral:misc_RNA from 1 species
CAGCAAAGGCUUCAAAAAUGCCAGUCAGUCACCACCAUCUCAGGUGCGAUUGUAAUGAAAGUAGUUUGUGUUUCUUGGCAAUUGAAAUGGAACGAAGAAUAAUUAGAAAAAGGUGUACAAAGGGUGAUCGGAGUUAUUGUUGUGUACCACAGUGCAAUUCUAGGGCUAAAAACAACCCUCAACUAAGUUUUCAUAGAUUUCCUAAAGACGAAUUGCGGCGAUUGCAAUGGAUCCGUCUCUUAAGAAUCGGGAAAUUCGUUACUGAAAGAAUGAUUGUAUGCAGUAAACAUUUCAAGAAUUCAGAUUUUGUUUUACACAAUGUUCCUACUAAGAGACCAAAUCUUGAGAAAACUGCUGUACCUAGCCUGUAUCUCCCAGUUUCAAAAGUAUCGGAAACGGAACAACGGUAUCAGAAUUUGAUUGGGAAAAAAGUAAUGUUACGUUUGAGUGAUGAUGAUGAAGACAAUCCUAACAUGGAUAGUGAAGGUAAAAAACCCAAUGAGCUGUGGACUCCAAAGAAUUCAUCCGUUGUUUGUAGCAGACAUUUCACGCCAACAGAUUUUAAGAAUGGGCUGAAGUACAAGACAUUAAUGCCUUAUGCAAUACCUUCAGUUUUUACAGAUGAUCCGCGAAGAAUUCGUGGGAAAGUAGAUCCCUCUGAUUUAAAUUCUUCAGGUGAACAGUUGAGAAUAAUUGCUGUAUCAUCUGAAAAUUUACCUGUGUCAACUGCUAAAACCUUUAUUUCCAACGGGAAGGAAACUAGUCAAGAAUCACAUCCCUUAGAUCCUAAAUUGGUACAAGUUUGGUCUUGCUCAAAGGUAGGGAGUGAUUCUAAACCGACAAUUGCCACCAACGGCAAAAUUGACGAUUUGCCAUCAUUUAUGAAACAGGCUUUGCUUGAAAAAGAAAAAAUUGACCGGACAUACGAAGGAACAAGUACUGCAAACAUCAAUAAUUUAAUGGGAAAUGGAAAUUUACAGUCCGAUCAUUCAGAGUUAGAAAACUCAAAUAUUAGCAACAUUAAAAUAGAACUGGAUUCUUCAGAAGAAGAUAAUGCCAGUAAUUCUACAUGUAUUACUGUGCCUUAUUUAGAAUCACUGGACCCAAGCAUACCUUCCAAUGCCUGUAUUCAGCCGAAUGAAUUAUCUAGCGCUUCAAAAGUUAUGUGUGAUGCUUCCACUUCUACCCAUCCCCAUGAUAAUGUUGCUUACUUGAAAAUGGAACUAGAAAUUUGUAAAAAGAAAAUUAAUGUUUCUCAAAAUAAGACUAGAAAUUUACAGAAGGUCAAUCGACGAUUAAGAAAGCGAAUAUUAGAUAUGAAACAUAUUGUUUUCUGUGAACUUCAGAGCAGGCAUUAUCUGUCAAAAAAUUCGGAUUUUAAUGUUGAAAAACAAGGUUGUUUAUUAGAUCGCCAUUCUGUUGCAGUGGUUGAGUCAUCUGAGGCAGAAGAAUGUGAGGAAGAUUAAAUCUAAUUUUAAUAAUUCAGAUUUUUUUUUCAAUUUAUUUAUUUUUUUGGUCGACUAAAUAAACUUUUGUGUUAGAAAUAAAUAAAAAGGGUUUCUACAUGUUCACUGAAACCUGGCAUUGUCAGAGAAUUUGAUUUCGGGAAAAAACGCCUGGAAAUUGUCAUUUUUCAACCAAAACCCAGAUAAACCUGCAACAAACCAGGAAAAUAAUUUAUAGUGAAGCUUCAUAGUUGUGCCAAAAUGCAAGAUCUCCCAAAAGCAUUGAUUAUUUCUGUGGAUAUUAUCUAUUUUCUUCGAAAUCAAUGGAUAAAAAAAAGAUUUUAUAUCUUUUCAGAAAAAAUUAUCCUUUUUGUAUCAAUUUUUUAAAAUUUUCUUUUCUAAAAUAUUUUGUUCUAUAUCUCUUAAAUAAAUGUUAUACUAUAUUUUUUUCUUUCUUGUAAGUCCUAUUUGAAAUACUUUUCAGAUAUGUUUUCAAGAACACUCUACAA